rnacentral:rRNA from 1 species
GUAAGCGCGCGCAGGCGGCUAUUUAAGUUGGAUGUGAAAGCCUACGGCUCAACCGUAGAACUGCAUCCAAAACUAUUUAGCUAGAGUGUGGGAGAGGAAGAUGGAAUUAGUUGUGUAGGGGUAAAAUCCGUAGAGAUAACUAGGAAUACCAAAAGCGAAGGGAAUCUUCUGGAACACUACUGACGCUGAAGCGCGAAAGCGUGGGGAGCAAAGAGGAUUAGAUACCCUGGUAGUCCACGCAGUAAACGAUGAAUGUUAGUCGUCGGGUAGCUAGUCUAUUCGGUGAUGCAGCUAACGCAUUAAACAUUCCGCCUGGGGAGUACGGUCGCAAGAUUAAAACUCAAAGGAAUAGACGGGGACCCGCACAAGUGGUGGAGCAUGUGGUUUAAUUCGAAGAUACGCGAAGAACCUUACCUAGCCUUGACAUAUUUUAGAAUCUUUCAGAGAUGAGAGAGUGCCUUCGGGAGCUAAUAUACAGGUGCUGCACGGCUGUCGUCAGCUCGUGUCGUGAGAUGUUGGGUUAAGUCCCGCAACGAGCGCAACCCUCGUCACUAGUUACUAACGGUUCGGCCGAGGACUCUAGUGAGACUGCCUUCGUAAGGAGGAGGAAGGUGAGGACGACGUCAAGUCAUCAUGGCCCUUACGGCUAGGGCAACACACGUGCUACAAUGGUUAGGACAAUGAGACGCAAUACCGCGAGGUGGAGCAAAUCUAUAAACCUAAUCUCAGUUCGGAUUGUUCUCUGCAACUCGAGAACAUGAAGCUGGAAUCACUAGUAAUCGUAGAUCAGCUAUGCUACGGUGAAUACGUU